rnacentral:rRNA from 1 species
GAUGAACGCUGGCGGCGUGCCUAAUACAUGCAAGUCGAGCGAACAGACGAGGAGCUUGCUCCUCUGACGUUAGCGGCGGACGGGUGAGUAACACGUGGAUAACCUACCUAUAAGACUGGGAUAACUUCGGGAAACCGGAGCUAAUACCGGAUAAUAUAUUGAACCGCAUGGUUCAAUAGUGAAAGACGGUUUUGCUGUCACUUAUAGAUGGAUCCGCGCCGCAUUAGCUAGUUGGUAAGGUAACGGCUUACCAAGGCAACGAUGCGUAGCCGACCUGAGAGGGGGAUGGGCCACACUGGAGCUGAGACACGGUCCAGGCUCCUACGGGAGGCAGCAGUAGGGAAUCUUGCGCAAUGGGCGAAAGCCUGACGGAGCAACGGCGCGUGAGUGAUGAAGGUCUUCGGAUCGUAAAACUCUGUUAUUAGGGAAGAACAAAUGUGUAAGUAACUAUGCACGGCUUGACGGUACCUAAUAAGAAAGCCACGGCUAACUACGUG